AUGAACGCUGGCGGCGUGCUUAACACAUGCAAGUCGAACGAACCUUCGGGUUAGUGGCGGACGGGUGAGUAACGCGUGAGAAUCUGCCCUCAGGAGGGGGACAACAGCUGGAAACGGCUGCUAAUACCCCAUAUGCCGCGAGGUGAAAUGAAUUUCGCCUGAGGAUGAGCUCGCGUCUGAUUAGCUAGUUGGUGUAGGUAAUGGCUCACCAAGGCAUCGAUCAGUAGCUGGUCUGAGAGGAUGAUCAGCCACACUGGGACUGAGACACGGCCCAGACUCCUACGGGAGGCAGCAGUGGGGAAUUUUCCGCAAUGGGCGAAAGCCUGACGGAGCAACGCCGCGUGAGGGAUGAAGGCCUCUGGGCUGUAAACCUCUUUUAUCAAGGAAGAAGAUCUGACGGUACUUGAUGAAUAAGCCACGGCUAAUUCCGUGCCAGCAGCCGCGGUAAUACGGGAGUGGCAAGCGUUAUCCGGAAUUAUUGGGCGUAAAGCGUCCGCAGGCGGCCCUUCAAGUCUGCUGUUAAAAAGUGGAGCUUAACUCCAUCAUGGCAGUGGAAACUGUUGGGCUUGAGUGUGGUAUGGGCAGAGGGCAUUCCCGGUGUAGCGGUGAAAUGCGUAGAUAUCGGGAAGAACACCAGUGGCGAAGGCGCUCUGCUGGGCCAUCACUGACGCUCAUGGACGAAAGCCAGGGGAGCGAAAGGGAUUAGAUACCCGUGUAGUCCUGGCCGUAAACGAUGAACACUAGGUGUCGGGGGAAUCGACCCCCUCGGUGUCGUAGCCAACGCGUUAAGUGUUCCGCCUGGGGAGUACGCACGCAAGUGUGAAACUCAAAGGAAUUGACGGGGGCCCGCACAAGCGGUGGAGUAUGUGGUUUAAUUCGAUGCAACGCGAAGAACCUUACCAGGGUUUGACAUCCUGCGAAUCUCUUGGAAACAGGAGAGUGCCUUCGGGAACGCAGUGACAGGUGGUGCAUGGCUGUCGUCAGCUCGUGUCGUGAGAUGUUGGGUUAAGUCCCGCAACGAGCGCAACCCACGUCUUUAGUUGCCAGCAUUUAGUUGGGCACUCUAGAGAGACUGCCGGUGAUAAACCGGAGGAAGGUGUGGAUGACGUCAAGUCAUCAUGCCCCUUACAUCCUGGGCUACACACGUACUACAAUGCUACGGACAAAGGGCAGCAAGUUCGCGAGGACAAGCAAAUCCCAUAAACCGUGGCUCAGUUCAGAUCGUAGGCUGCAACUCGCCUACGUGAAGGCGGAAUCGCUAGUAAUCGCAGGUCAGCAUACUGCGGUGAAUACGUUCCCGGGCCUUGUACACACCGCCCGUCACACCAUGGAAGUUGGCCACGCCCGAAGCCGUUACUCCAACCCUUGUGGAGGAGGACGUCGAAGGUGGGGCUGAUGACUGGGGCGA
rnacentral:rRNA from 1 species